rnacentral:rRNA from 1 species
CAAAAACAUAGCCCUUAAAGAAAAUUAAAGGUGAAACCUGCCCAAUGGUAUAAAAUAAAAUUUAUAAAUUAAAUAAAAAAAACUAAAUGGCUGCAGUAACUAUGACUGUGUGAAUGUAGCAUAAUCACUCGCCACUUAAUUAGUGGAUAGUAUGAAUGGUUAAACGAAAAUUUCUCUGUCUUAUAUGAUAAAAAAAAAAUUUAAAUUAUAGUUAAGAUGCUAUAUAAAAUUGUAAGACGAAAAGACCCUAUAAAGCUUAACUAUAAUCUUUUAUAUGAAUUUGUUAAACAACAAUAUUUUAAAAGACUGGUAGUUUCAUUGGGGCGAUGGUUUCUAAAAAUUAACAGAAAUAAACUAUAUUAAUACUAUAAUUUACUGUUUAACCUAUAAGUUUAACAGUUACUAAGUAGGUUAUAAAGACCCAUUAUUAUCUAUAAGAAGAAAUAAUGAUCAAAAAAUAAAAGCUACUUUAGGGAUAACAGGAUAAUAUUUUCUAAGAGUCCUUAUCGAAGAAAAAGUUUAUCACCUCGAUGUUGAAUUAAGAUAACCUAAUGACGCAGCCGUUAUUAAAGGUAGGUCUGUUCGACCUUUAAAAUCUUACAUGAUUUGA